rnacentral:rRNA from 1 species
UACGAAGGGUGCAAACGUUGCUCGGAAUUACUGGGCGUAAAGCGUGCGCAGGCGGUUGGUUAAGUCUGAUGUGAAAGCCCCGGGCUCAACCUGGGAAUGGCAUUGGAAACUGGCCAGCUGGAGUGUGGCAGAGGGGGGUGGAAUUCCGCGUGUAGCAGUGAAAUGCGUAGAGAUGCGGAGGAACACCGAUGGCGAAGGCAGCCCCCUGGGCCAACACUGACGCUCAGGCACGAAAGCGUGGGGAGCAAACAGG